AGACAGUUGUGUUAGUUGUUCUACUGUCUGCAAACAUGGAUGUGUUUACAUUUGUUGAUGUGUAUGUUCCAUACAAUGGUACAUUUUGUGGCCACACAAACUGUGUUUCAUGGCACUAUGCAGACAGUAUAGAACUAGUGUUGAAGGAGCCUGAUGCUUGUCAUGCUGCUAGAAAAGAGUGUGGGUCUUGUGAAAUCAAGACAGGAUGUCUUGUAUCUUGCCAAACCUCUGUAUCAGAGGGUCCAAGGUAGACAGACAGCCACAAUAUGUCUCAGUAUGUCAGCUCAGGGUAGGUUUAGCACAGUCAGUGCCACUGUGUGGCGCUAAUUGUCAGCUGAUGUCAGAGACCUCGCCCAUGCUCUCAGAUUAGCUGACAGCUUUAAGCCUCAGCUCUCAGUGAUGCUGCUGUGUUUGUUCAGACAGGAAAGCUUUCAGUCUUCAUUUAUUCAAUUGUUCCCCUGUCACUUCUUAGACAUUUAAAUCAACAUAAAGAGUCAUAUUUCAUUUUUUUCCUAAAUAUUAUAAAAAUGUAACUCUCUUGAAUGAAACAGUUCCAUAAAGUUCUGAAGUAGGAUUAGUUACAUUUAUUGUCUUCUUUUUAUUUCAGGAGGUCAGUCGCUUCUCUAGGCUGUGUGUGUGUGUGUGUGUGUCAGAGCUACAGAACAACUCAAAUAAUCAAUAACUUGAGGUGUACGUCAUCAACACCUUCAGUCUCCUCCAGCAUUUAAACGCUCCUAAGUUAUAUGUUCUUUCAUCAGGUCCUGACAACUUUCAUCAUCCAACAGUAUUCUUGAGGAUUAAAACACUGAUGCAGUCUAACACAUUUCCACAGUGCUAAAACAUGUCUUAAAUGAAGAGCAGGUCUGGAACAUAAAAUAAUGAAUAAAAGAGGAAAUAUGA